rnacentral:rRNA from 1 species
CUACGGGGGGCUCCAGUAGGGAAUUUUCCACAAUGGGCGAAAGCCUGAUGGAGCAACGCCGCGUGCAGGAUGAAUGCCUUCGGGUUGUAAACUGCUUUUAUAUGUGACGAUUAUGACGGUAGCAUAUGAAUAAGGAUCGGCUAACUCCGUGCCAGCAGCCGCGGGCGAUACGGAGGAUCCAAGCGUUAUCCGGAAUUACUGGGCGUAAAGAGUUGCGUAGGUGGCAUAGUAAGUCUGUAGUGAAAGCGUGGAGCUCAACUCCAUAAACAUUAUGGAAACUACUAAGCUAGAGUAUGAGAGAGGUAGAUGGAAUUCCCAGUGUAGGAGUGAAAUCCGUAGAUAUUGGGAGGAACACCGAUGGCGUAGGCAGUCUACUGGCUCAUUACUGACACUAAGGCACGAAAGCGUAGGGAGCAAACGGGAUUAGAUACCCCAGUAGUC